rnacentral:rRNA from 1 species
UGCAGUCGAACGAGAGGUUUACCUCUAGUGGCGAACGAGCGAGUAACAUGUUGGAAUCUGCCAAGCAGUAGGGGAUAAGGUAGGGAAACUUACUCUAAUACCGUAUAAGUUUAACCUUAUGGUAAGGUUAAAGAAAGAUUUAUUGCUGCUUGAUGAGCCUACAUCCGAUUAGAUAGUUGGUAGGGUAAAGGCCUACCAAGUCUAUGAUCGGUAGCUGGUCUGAGAGGACGGACAGCCGCGACGACACUGAGACACGGGUCGUACUCCUACGGGAGGCAGCAGGGAAGAAUCUUGGGCAAUGAGGGAAACCUUGACCCAGUGAUGCUGUGUGAAUGAUGAAGGCCUUCGGGUUGUAAAGUUCUUUUAACGAUGAAGAUGAUGACGUUAAUCGUUGAAUAAGCUCUGAUUAAUUACGUGCCAGCAAUCGCGGUAAUACGUAAGGAGCAAGCGUUAUUCGGUAUAAUUGGGCGUAAAGAGUUCAUAGGCUGAUCACUCAGUCCUAAGUUAAAGAACGGAAUAAACCUCCGUUACGGCUUGGGAAACAGGUGGUCUGGAACUUAGUGGAGGAGAAGAGAAUUCUUGAUUUAGCAGUUCAAUGCGUAGAUCAAGAGGAAUGCCGUAGGCGAAAGCGCUUCUCUACGCUAGGUUGACGCUGUAGGAACGAAACCGUAGGGAGCAAAUGGGAUUAGAUACCCCAGUAGUCUACGGCGUAAACGAUGAGGGUUAAUGGUUCAUCCCCUAGCGAGGAUGAGUUGUACAGCUAACGCGUUAAACCUUCCGCCUGANAAGUACNGUGGCAACACUAAAACUCAAAGGAAUUGACAGGAGAUCAUACAAACAGUGGAACNUGAGGUUUAAUUCGAUAGCACGCGAAAAACCUUACCUACCUUUGCAUUG